UCAACUGAUUUAAAUCAACCCAACCCUGCUCGAGAUGGCCCUAUUUUUGCAUUUUCCAUGUAUUUAACUUUUGUUCACCAUACCCAUGACCAUGUGAAAGAGGUUUCAUUUGAAGCUUCACAAACUGAAGCACAUCAGGCAUCCAGACUUCACUAGAGAUGUUGCCACAUGCUAGAGUCAGUUAGCCUACAUGAAAUUUUGCACUUCGUGUGUAACCUUCCAGAGAGACAUUGUUGGCCUAUUCUACUACUACUACUUGUUGGGUAGGUUGUUUUUUUUAAAGGAAACCACUGAAAAACUGUGCAGAAACUGAUUAGUGGCGAUUUUGUGGGACUUUCCAGCGAUAUUCCAUCUUGAUAUAUUGUUAUCGUAAGCUGAUGUGGCUUGCAAAAUAUCUUCAUGAAAUAUUUGCGGAGCAAAUGAAGGACAGGCGAAGGAAAAAAAUAGCGAAGUGACUUUUUUCAGAGCCUUGAAGGUGUGCUAGAGUUGAACCUGAGGCUUCCAGCUUCUCUAAGUCACAUCCCUGAUUCCAGAAGGCCGAAUAUAAUAGGAGUGCUUGUUGUGUAACUUUCUUGGACACCUGUUCAAGAAAACCUGGAUCCUCUUUACACACGUCUGUGAUGUGUUCUAUGCCUCACAUCCAUACAACAGGACCCCCACCGGGCAUACCCACCUCGCUCACCUGACUCGAACCCUAUUGAACAUUUGUGGGACGUGAUCCAAAGAGAGCUUAAUCAGAUGCAGCCACGGACUCCAACAGCAGCCCAGUUGACUGCAACCAUCAUCCAGAUCUUCGGUGGCAUCCAAAAUGGCCACAUCAACUGUUUGAUUAACUCUAUGAGCAGAAGAUGCCUCGCUGUAAUCGCUGCACGUGGAGGCCAUACGCGUUACUAAGUUUGCUCACCAAGGUCAAGGUCAACGUGAGCUCAGAUGAAUAUGUUGAACCCUCAGUCCAUGCCAGCUAUAUCACUCAAGAAGUGUGUUAAGCUUCAGUUAAUAAACACAACAAAUAACUUGAAA